rnacentral:lncRNA from 1 species
UGGAACUUAUAGCACAAGAUCUAUUUUAACUAGCAUUGUUAGUAUGGAUUCGGUGUUGAUGAGAAAUUCAGAUCUAAUUUACAAAGAAUGUAUAGAUAGAUAACAGAUAGAGCAGAGGUAACCAAUCUAGAGUAACCUAUACAUGCAUAUAUUGUAAUUCUGAGCAUAGAUAGCAAAGCAACAUAUAUAUGAUUAUGACUUAGUAAAAAGCAUUUUUAAAUCCACACCUCCAGUCCGGCUUCCGAAACCCCCUAUCUUACACUACAAAGAUCUCGUCA